rnacentral:tRNA from 1 species
GUGGGUGUAGUUCAGUGGUAGAGCCCAUGCUUAGCAUGCAUGAGGUCCUGGGUUCAAUCCCCAGUACCUCCA